CACUCACACACACAAACACACACACUCACUCAGACACACACACACUCAGACACACACACACACACAACAAUCCAACGAGCGGUCGAACUGUUAAAAAGAUUCUGGUAUUUUUGAGUUUGGGCUUUUACUGUGAAGGAGUGACCCGUUGCUUCCUGUUUCCUGCUUUAUCCUAGCAACACCUGGAGACAAAACAACAGCUGUUUGUCUCUGUGUUUCCAGAAGUAGAGCAUGAGAAAAUAUACGUUAAUUUAUGUAGUACCUGUACCCUCAUAUCAAGCAAAGAAGUAGAAGUGGUAGAAGUAGAAGAAGUGGUAUUGGUAGUAGAAGUAGGAGACAUGGAGGCUGGAAACAUGGCCACACAGAUUGCUGCUGAUGAAUUAGUAAAGCUGUCUGGGGGGCUCUAAGUGGACCUGAUCCACUGACCUACUUUACCGUAGACCAGCAGGGUUAAUGGAGUCUGGAGGUCUUUAAAGAGGUCUUCAGAGUCCUCGUGAGCUUCACUGACCGUGCUGUUGUCUCCUCGUCUCUCAGAUGCGUUCGUGAACAGUCAGGAGUGGACGCUCAGUCGAACGGUACCAGAGCUCAAAGUGGGCAUUGUGGGUAACCUGGCCAGCGGUAAGUCGGCGCUGGUCCACCGGUACCUGACGGGAACGUACGUCCAGGAGGAGUCACCUGAAGCUGACGUGGACGCAGG